UUUUCUUCCUCACAGAUCGUGCGCAGCCUCCCUAAUUUCUUUCCUCCCGCCGCCGACCUGGCCCAGCCGGUCAGAUAUGUGUCCGAAACCAUCCUUUGCCCAGCCGCUCCUCCGCGUGCCACACCCGUCGAGGAUUUCGCCUAGCAACUAUCGCGGGUUCUUAUCCGCGUCAGCCACAUUCGCCAGAUCUAAAGCCGUCUCCGUCGAAGCGUCGUCGCCCCAGUCAUUCGCACUCUGCUGACGGCAGACCCUGUCCGUCGCCGUCCAAGAUCUAAGCCAGCGUCUUGGCGCCGCCACUACCGUUGUCUUGCUCUCGCCAGAUUCUCAAGAUUUGUAUUCUGGUUCAGUAUCAGGUGACUCUGCGAUGUGUUGAUUUGGAUGGGUUCAAGUGAUUUGGAUUUCAAACCACAUCUUGGGUAACAAUAUUUUGGUUUAACAUUGACUAUGUGGCUGCCUGAAAGUGAUGCACGUCUAAAGAUGCUAGUACAUGAAAGAGAUGUACUAGGAUUGGUGCGUAUGAAAGUGAUACAUACUCAGAGGGUACUGAAGUGUACAAAAGAGGUAAGGAUAGGGAUGCACCGGCGAUGGACAAGCGGAAUUCAUGAUCGAGCCACUAGGACU